ensembl:lncRNA
AUAAUUUCUAGGACCAUGAAGUUCUCACUUUUCCGAGUUAUCCACAUCGCUGACUUUUGCUAAUUAGCUAGUUAGCAGUCACAGCUGUGUAAUACCCAGAGAGACACAGACAGCUAACUAUAAUAUUUAUGAAAACUGGUUCAGCCACUGAAGGGCAAAACUGAUGGUAUCACAGUAAAAAUUAUUUUAACAUUUACUAAAAUGGAAAGCUUAAGUCAUGUUAAACCUAAAUAACAAUUAUUUUAAAAAAUGAGUCAGCAAAAUAUUCCUGACUUGUCUGGAGACAGCUGAAACCAGUUAACAAAUAAAUUAACAAUUCUUUCUAAAUAAAAACGCGGAGUCUUUUGAAAAACAUUAUUUUAACUAGAAAAAUUUGCAUUUCCUGCGAAAAUGCAGUGUGGAUGCCUUAACGGCUGAAGAUAUCUGCUGAAAAAAGCUGAAAAAGUUGAAACAAAAAAAAAAAAAAGAUGCCCUGAGCAGGUUUCGAACCUGGCCCUCCUGAUCAAAGGGCAGCUAUUUAGCUCACUGAGCCAAACACUUUCUCACAAAGAAAAGGUGGAGAGAUUGACAAUUGUGCUAGCAGAAUUUGGGCAAAAAAAAGGGGUGAAAAUUCUGCUGAAAAGAGUUCCAUCAGCAGAAUUUCUGCUGAAAAGAGGUGAAUGAGCAGAAUUCUGCUGAAAAGAGUUUUUUUCUGAAAACAGCAGAAAAAACUGAAAAUUUUGCUGAAAAGAGUUGAAUGAGCAGAAUUCUGCUGAAAAGAGGUUUUUGCUGAAAAAGAGCUGAAAAAGUUUGGAUUUGUGCUGAAAAGGGGUUAAAAAAACUGAAAAUUUUGCUGAAAAGGGGUGAAAAAGAUGAAAUUUGUGUUGAAAAGAGUUUAAAAAAAGUUUAACUGUUAAGUGAAAGAAAUGUUGCCAUAAGCUGGAUUUGAACCCAGGCCUCCCAGUCUGAGAACGGAUGCUUAUCUCACUGAGCUAAAACACAGCUCAGCCCAUCAUGCAAAAUCAGUGACCACAUUGAUAAUGUGUUCCAUUCAUUUCAAUGGUCAAAAGUCAUAACACAC